rnacentral:tRNA from 1 species
GGCUCGGUAACUUAGUUGGUAAAGCACUUGUCUAGCGAAUAAGGGUCGUGAGUUUAAAUCUCACCUGAGCUG